GCACAUAUACAAAUGCAGAGUUUUGAGGAAACCAUGUGCAAAGCAUUUUUUUUCUUUUACCCCCCCCAGAAACCUCUGAGGAUAACACUGAAACCUCGGAGAACAACACUGAAAAAAUUGUCUUAGCCCUACUCCUGGGCAUGAUCAUCAUCGGGAUCAUCUAUUAUUUAAAUGCUCUCCAAGCAGAACUGAGUAAGUGUAUGUUGAUUCUUUGAAUGUAAAAGUUAAUUCAGUUCCAUGGUGGAA